CCUACGGGUGGCAGCAGUGAGGAAUAUUGGUCAAUGGACGCGAGUCUGAACCAGCCAUGUCGCGUGAAGGAUGACGGCCCUAUGAGUUGUAAACUUCUUUUGUACGAGAGUAAACCCCGAUACGUGUACCUGGUUGAAAGUACUUUACGAAUAAGGAUCGGCUAACUCCGUGCCAGCAGCCGCGGUAAUACGGAGGAUCCGAGCGUUAUCCGGAUUUAUUGGGUUUAAAGGGUGCGUAGACGGUUUGUUAAGUUAGUGGUGAAAUGUUGGGGCUCAACCCCGAAAGUGCCAUUAAUACUGUUGGACUAGAGAAUAGUUGCGGUAGGCGGAAUGUAUGGUGUAGCGGUGAAAUGCUUAGAGAUCAUACAGAACCCCGAUUGCGAAGGCAGCUUACCAAACUAUAUCUGACGUUGAGGCACGAAAGCGUGGGUAGCAAACAGGAUUAGAUACCCUUGUAGUC
rnacentral:rRNA from 1 species